rnacentral:misc_RNA from 1 species
CUCCAUAUGGUGCACAUAAUAGCCCCACUUUUUACCCUGUAAGUGCAUCAAUCUUACCCUCUAAGUACCGGGAUUUAUGAAAUGGGGGUAGAAUUUAGAGCUGACCAGGUUUCAAUGAAUCGAAAAAUUAAUUAAUUGGUUUAAUUUGAUUUGAUUUUUUUUUCAAUUUAUAACAUUCUGUUUAUUUAAAAAAAAUAAUAAUAAUUGGCUAAAAUUUUCUAUAUUUAUAUAUUUUAUGUAAUUGAUAAAAAUACACUGAAACGGACAGUAGAAACGCAAUUGAAUUUGAGGAACUCUGAUUACAAUUUUAUUCUUUUCCGGAUGCUUUAAGGCAUUGCUUUCCUUUGAGCUUUUGGUCUUUUUAAGUUCAGACCUCUGAUUUUUUAUUUCGCGGUUUUGCCUUACAACCAAGUGAUGCCUUUGCUUUUGCUGAAUUGAGUUCAUAUUAUCCAUUUCAUCUACGACAUGCGAGCAGUUGAGGUCCAACAGGAUAAACUCUGUGUCAUCGGUGCUUCCAUGACCGAUGUUGUUACCUGUCUCUCAAUCUCAUCUGCUUCUUCUUAAACCUUGCAACUAAGUCAUACGAAGCCCAAAUGAAAUUAGAAUUCAUUCCUCGCUUUCGCAAAUUUAUUUGUAAUUUUUUUCUUUUUAUAUUAUUUGUUACUUUUGGUUCUUUUCUUUAAUUGUGUUAUUGUUGAUCAGAUUUCUUAUCUCUCUUCUAAUUUCUUUAUUUUGUUGUCUUUUUUUCUAACUCUUGUUUCGUUAAUGGUGUAAUGUUGUAUCUUGGAAAGAAAUUAAGAGAUUGUUCAUGAUUUAUUUUAUUUUUUUCAUUGAUUACUAUUGGAAAGGCAGCUGUUAGCUGCCACUUAUUUUGCAUUUAUUUAGGGUAUUUGUUUAGGAAUUUUUGUGUGUAUAUCUGUUCAUAUUUUUUGUUGUAUAAUUCUGAUAUAAUUUUGAUAGUUUAGCUUAAUUAGAAACCUAUUUGUUAGCUGUAAUUUU